GGGUGAUUAGCUCAGUUGGCCAGAGCACCUGCCUUACAUGCAGGGGGUCAGAGGUUCGAGUCCUCUAUCGCCCA
rnacentral:tRNA from 1 species